ACUGGCUCUUAUUUUCUUUCCAUCACCGAAUGGUUUCUUCCAGAAACCAUUUCUCAAAAUCAAAACCAUUCCUUUUUGUGCUCAAAGCUUCAUCCAAAAGAAGAAGCUUCAAUUAGAUAUAAGUGGUUGUUUGCUAUAGCUUUGUGGUCAGAAUACUGCCAUAUCAUCUUCCCGACGAUAGGAACACCUCUUUGAGAUUACUGAGCUCAACAUCUACAGUGCUGUUUUUGGGACCGAAAUUUGGCCAGCUGCGGGGAAUAUGGGAGAACAAUGUAUUGUACACAAUUUGCCAAAGAAUGUGCCUGUUACUCAUGACAAUGCAGAAAAUAUAUGGUUAUUUGAAUUCAAGGCUUAGGGUUUGUUUGGAUUGUGUUAUUUAAGCUUCCCGAUGAUUGGCUGGUUCAGCAAACACGCCGUAUCUCUAACCCUGACCACAUUGACAAGGGUUUGUAAAUAUACAUAUCAUUAGAGAAAAACUGAUGAAGCAGAAGUGGCAAGUUAUAAUGUUGCUUGUUGUUACUCUAAGCUAAACCAGAAGCUUAAGGAUUUGAAGAGCAAAAAAGUUACAAAAAUGUCAAAAGGAAGCAAGUAAAAAAAAUGGAAACUAGCAUUCUUCACCAUUCACCAAGUGGGUAUUGAUGCUGAUGAAAUAGUCAUUUGGAUGAAGAUAAUUUAAUUGGCCAUGGUGGUACCUGAGAGGUUUAUACUUCAACUCUAUGCUUGAUUUUUUAAAUGAGGAACCAACCUUUUAGUUUCUGCGUAAAGCUCUCUUCAUAGAUAAAAGAUGAGAAGGUUGCACGGGCUUGGAAUCACAAGUAUAAAUUGCAAUGUUCUCCACCUGUUAUUCACGGGGGUAUAAAAUCUAUCAACAUCUUGCUUGAUGAAGACUAUGUGGCAAAAAUUGCUGAAUUUGGUGUUGCAAGGUUUGCUGAAAAAAUCUCAGAUGGGUUAUACUGUUCCAGGUAUGUUUUGAUAAUGCUUUCAACAAGAAAUUUCAAUACACUAUUUUUAGUUUCAAAAGUAUCUCAUGUUUUAUUUACACAAUCAUUAUUUGUGACAUUUUAUUAUAAGCAUUUGCGGAUUCGAACCCCUGUAGUCAGGAAAUCCCUCAUCUGCAGCAAUCAUACAAUCUAGAUUGUUGAAUUAAUUAAGAUAAGAUGAUUUGCAUUUAAAUUUCGUAAUCGAUUCUAUUCUACAAGGGCAGAUGUGAGACAUAGGAUCUUGAUCAGAUAGUCCAAAAUGCAUGACUUUAUCAAGUGUGCAAUUUUAUAAUUGCAAGAAUUACAAAUCCAUAAUGAUUAUAUUAAGCGUGAUUAUAAAUUGUAUUAUGGAACUACAAAUGCAGCAUAAAAGUAUUUUGAGGUAUCUGCAGCAUCGCAUUGGCCGUAUUACUCAAUUGCUUAUUAAAAUAAGGAAUACAAGAUUGAUGACUUUUUUUCUUGUAAAGAUAAGAUAAACAUGUUCGAACCAAAACAUUUUCCAUAUGAAAUUGUAACACAGAUUAGGACAAAAAAAUUAAUGGCAUCUUACUGAUAUCCAUUACUUUCCUGGAUUUAAUGCUGAUUCCUGGAUUUAAUGCUGAUGGAAUGCUAAGUAAGAAGAAGCAUUAGAGAAAUUUGAUUCUAUUUUGGGAGCAAAGCCAGAACUUGAAGAAGCGGCAUUCACAAGUUAUCAUGUUGCUUGUUGUUAUUCUAAAUCAGGUAUGCAUUUCACUACUUAUUAAUUGGUUUUGAACCAUUUUGUUGUGAGUAAUUCUGUCAAAUAUUGAAUAAUCUCUCAAUAUAUGUAUUAUAACAUCAGCCACAAUUUUUUUGAGCGUUAUAAUGUUUAAGAAAGCAUGUUUUAGCUUAAUACUACACCAUUUCGGAUCCAUUGAAGUCCCACGUUGGCUAGAACAUCACACAAGCAAGUGUUUAUAAAUGCCUGACAUGCUAGUUAGUUCGCCGAGCUGAGUAACGCCAGCUUAUGACCCAUGUGGGGGCAUCAAGGUGAUGGAACAUGGCUAAGACUUAACAGGUUGGUCUGGUGGUUGAACCAUGCUGGCCUGCCCGCUCCAAGUUGCGAGUUGGCCCAUGGGUCUUGUGCGAAGGCACGAGACUUGUGUGUCUUAGACAGGAGGGUAUAGCGUGAGGCUGGUUUCACAGAGCAGCGAAUACUUCCUACUCUUGACAGUGGAGGGAUCACGGACCGCUUCAUCCCCAGCCCACAAAACCUGGUGAGCCGGCCCAUGGGUCUUGUGCGAAGGCACGAGACUUGUGUGUCUUAGACAGGAGGGUAUAGCGUGAGGCUGGUUUCACAGAGCAGCGAAUACUUCCUACUCUUGACAGUGGAGGGAUCACGGACCGCUUCAUCCCCAGCCCACAAAACCUGGUGAGCCGGCCCAUGGGUCUUGUGCGAAGGCACGAGACUUGUGUGUCUUAGACAGGAGGGUAUAGCGUGAGGCUGGUUUCACAGAGCAGCGAAUACUUCCUACUCUUGACAGUGGAGGGAUCACGGACCGCUUCAUCCCCAGCCCACAAAACCUGGUGAGCCUAGCCCUUUGAACCAUCUCUUUUUGGUGGGUGGGGUUCAUACAUUUUGAGGUGCCAUGUCCUAAAAAAUUAUGGAUGCUUUGGCAUCUUUGAUUUACAAACACCGUGAUCCAUACCCAUCUUGGAUCCUCACUCAUGUAGUCCUUAUUUUCACUUACAGUUUGGCAUUGCCCGUCAAAAAGGAAAAGCAAACAAUAUUGGUCCUCUAUUAAAAAUUUUAGAAACAUUUGGACAAAAAAUAUUUCACAUAUUAAAUGCACUGUCAAAGUAGGAAAAAGUAUGUUUGCUAUGAUAUUAUGGAGGAGUUGGAAUUCAUUUGGGACAACAAAUAAGACAGAGAAGCAGAUAUAAUUCAUCUGAGGGAGUUGUUUAUAAGCGGAGUGGGGGACUGCACGACAAACGGACAUGAAGGAUGGGCCAAAACAGCAGGGGCAACAUAAAAUGGCAACGUCCUCCUCAAAAUUAUAUUGAGUGCAAAGUUGAUGUCUUGUUCUCAGAGUACCACACCAGUGUAUGGGAACGAGUUGGUUAUGUUCGUGGGAGCCAAAACUCUGCGGCUGCAAUCAGUUAUGACAGUUGAUAUCAGAGAAGCAUUAGGCAUGUUAGCGGCGCUGGAGUGGGUGCGAGAGCUGAGCUUAGCUAGUUGUUUAAUACCUGGAUUCUAAAAGGGAUGACACUUUCAGCUCAGAUGUGCCUGUAUUAUAAGGUGUUUUCAAUACAGUCAAAUUAAAACACCUGUUUAUUUGUUGAUUUGAAGGGAGGUUGAAUUGGAUGUUGAGUUUUGUCAAGAGCACAAACACUUGACAAUGAUGAUUAUCAUAGACAAAUUAACUUCAAUUCACACCAAUAACAAAAUAUUGAUUCUUUAUUUGAGAUGAAUUGUUUUGAAACUGCACAGAUAAUGAUGUAAAGAUAAAAUAUAGUUAUACAAGUUGGACAAUAUGAUCAUACAGGUUUGACAGUAGUGAAUUCUGCAGAAAAAUGAAAAAUGCAAACAGAAAAAGAGAACAUAAAAUUCACUUCCUAUUUCUUCCUACUUCUUCCUUUCACUUUCUUUUUCUAUGUGGAACUUAACAACCAGUAGGCGAUGUAUUUUCCACCCUCUACUGGUAGACCAUUACCCGCCUUCGAAACUGUUUAGCAACUUGUGUAAGAUUGAUAGACAAGAGGGUGUAAACUGACAUUGUUUUGCUGAUGGUGUAAAGUGAAGUCGGAGACAGCAGAGCACGUGCUACAGCUAUGUAAUAAGAGCAAAAUCUGGACAUGUGGAGACACAGAGCAUGCACUGCUGCUAAAUAGGAACAUUUGGAGGAGUAGGAAUUCAUCCAUUUGGGACAACAAAUAAGAGAGAGCAGCAGAUGUAGUACAUGGGAGGGAGUUGUUUUCAAGCAGAGUGGUUGACUGCACGACAAACGGAUGUGGACGAUUUCAGCUCAGCUGGCCUGGAUUAUAACAAACUGCAACGAGAAUUUAUUCGUAUACAAUUUUAAAAGUAGUGAAUACUACCAGUAGUUAAUGUAAAAUAUCAACAAGAAAGAUUAAAAUUAAAAUUUGAACUAGGUUUGGUGGGGUGUGAUUUUAAAAGUAGUGAAUACUACCAGUAGUUAAUGUAAAAUAUCAACAAGAAAGAUUAAAAUUAAAAUUUGAACUAGGUUUGGUGGGGUGUGCCAGGCUAUUGCAAUAGUGCAACGCAAAAGCGACACAUGAAAGACCCAAUAGCAAGCCAUUGUGGUGGACUCUCCCCCUCAAGAAAUAAAUUUAAUAUCGUGUGAACCAUUGGCCCACAUAUCAGAUAUUAAACUGAUAAGAACAGAUACUACACUUGAUCUUAGCCAAAAGGCCGAGAAAGGUAUGAGUUGAAAUGUAUGCUUGUUGUGUCAUUUAUAUCUGACAUCUGUUAAGUUUUUUACUUCACUAACUGAGGUGGGACUCUUAUACAGCAACUUGGAGACUACAUAUUUCCCUUUCCUUUCAUAACAAAUCACAAUAUAAGUCCAAGAUAUCUCUAUUGAUUCUAAAUAUUUUAUUCAAUUCUCGUUGUGUUUAGUUCUAUGGGGUAAACAAUUAAAAGGUGAGUGAAUCAUUCUUAAUGGAAAGGACGUUGAAACUUUGACGUUGAGGUUUUGAUAUUGAUGGGUACGAACGAGUAUUUGUUGAAAAAUUACUCACUGCAACCGCAACCACUUUUUGCUUCACAUUCUCGUCAACAUUCACAUUAAUUGCGCAUAAUUAUUGAAAAUUUCUUCAUAUAUGUUACCUCCUCUCUCUUCCUGAAACAUAUUAGUUGAAAGCCAAAUUCAUUCUAGGCGGCAAAUUGUUUACAUCUAUUUGUUCUAAUAUAAGCAAGCUCUCUGUUUACUGUGGAAAUUGGUAAAGAACCGCUGGUCUUCCCAAAGCCUUAAACUAAGGGUUAUUUGCAAGAUCGACCAGUUGAUCUUGAGACAAGUGCUAAGGUUUUUGAAAUUGUACUGGUUCUGUCGUUGAUAUUAGCCUAAGAAACGGUUUUCUAAGACUGAAGGAACAAGUACAACGGCUUUCCAUACGUUGUGUUAGGUUCGACCGGCAGGUGACUCGUGACCGACGGGAACAAACCUAAGCUUAACAACUAAACAAAUCUGGACUCGGACCUACUAUGGUGACUCGUGACCGACAUGAGGUAUUGAAUCUAGACUUUGUUCUAAACGAAAUAAGGAGUAACUGACUCUUUUGUGAACAUGAAAAUAUAAAACGAACAAUGAUCAAUGAGUAAAAUGCAAGUAAAAGCUUCAAAAUACAUGACUAAAACAUAAAGACUUUGCAUUGAAAUAAAGGUGGUGAUUCACAUACAUCAAGACACUUAGCAACUCUUUCUUCCUGAAGUCGGAAAUUGAGCAGAGCUUCAGCAAGUAGUUUGGAUGUACCAGCGAACACACCAAUUUCUACAUAAAAUGACUUAUUUAUAGUAAUAAACAAAGAUAACUGCCUAAAGUGACCUAUGGCUGACAUUGAAGCUAAAUGAUAACUGCUUCAUGAGAUUUCGCCAUGUAUUUGGCGCCCACCAGACACGAUUUCUUGGAGUAACUGCCUUCAGUCUUUUAAAUUUGAAACUUCCCGCCUUCGUUUCUCCAAAGAUAAAUCGCUCUUGGUUUCCACGCUGGCAUUCGUCAAAUGUAGAAAUUUUUACUAAGUAUAAGGAGCCUCUUCGGCAGACUUGCAUGCUUCUAGUCGAUUCGACUUGCAUGCUCUUUCGACAUGCCUCGUCCUCGACUUUCUUCCGUACAUUUCCCCAUGUGCGCCUCAAUUUCUUGAAGCGCCUUUACUUGUAAGCCUCCUCCCUUAACUUCUAAGGUCACCAGCUGGGUAUGUACACCAUUUCCUGCUUGUGGAAAUCUUAAGGUAACACUUCCAUAAUGCUCUUUUUUCUCCAUUCAUUUAUAAAUAUCAGUUGACAUAAUUGAACUAUUUUUAAGAAUGAACGCUAACUAUUUUAAAGAAUGCCUUCAUUCUGUUUCUUAAGUUUUUCAAUAAAGAACUAUAAAUUGCUUCUCUGUUAUUCUCUUGCCUAAUAUUUCAUAAUAUUGAUCAUGGAUGUGUAAAUAAAACAACCACGGUCAUGUAAUGACAUCAUUUGGUUAUUUAUUUGCUAUGAAAGCCAUGACUAUUUAUUUGCUAUGAAAGCCAUGACACUUUCAGCCUCUGCUUUUGGAUCUUAAGACAGUAGUGAGAAAUAGUUCUUUAGAAAAGCCUCUGCUUUUGGAUCUUAAGACAGUAGAGAGAAAUAGUUCUUUAGAAAACAUGCUUGUUUAUAGAUGGAUUGAGGAUCUAAUUGCUCCUGAAUUAGCGGAGGGUCCUACUGAAGAGCCAUAAAGAAUUUUUGCUAGCAUCUCAUUUGAUUCCUUAUGUUGGUAUUAUGGUAAAAUACAAGCUAAUACUUACAGUUGAUACAACAGUAACCUGUUGUAAAACCGUUGUAUAUAUUACAACUGCAACUGUGAGUAAGAAGUAAGAUCAACAUACGCCUUCAACAUGGUAAGUUGAAAAUACUCCAGAGUCCAUAGUAUCUUUAUAUAGUGUUCUUCUAAAACACCAGAACCCCCAUUUGGAAAAUUAACUAGUCAACUAGAAUCUGAGACAGAAUCUCCUAAACAAAAGAAACUUUGAUGUAAGAAUAGGAGGGGGCCGCGCGAACGCAGGCCCCCACAGCAACAAAUUAUGAUGUAGGUUCCACCACUUGGGUAGACCUUAGGAUAGCACCCCUCCUAAGUGCAAUGGAGGUCACUCUCCUAGGCCAUGGUCCUUCAUGAUCAACCAUUGACCCCAUCCAGGUAAGUAGUUUGCAAUGAAGAUAUUCAAGUUCUUUUAUACUCUUGAUUAUCUCAAUACCUUUCCCCUUCUUUAGAUGUGGGACUCAACUAUAGUAAACAAUGUAUUUCUCACCUCUACUGCUGCUUUUUGUUUUUUCUCAUCUCCAAGCAUGACGGGUUCGCUUUGGCUUUUAUUAUUGAGUUGGAUAUUUUCUUCCUUGUUACUUUUAGUUGAAUUGAAAACUGGUAUCUGCGCAUCAAAUUUAAGAAAAACAUCUUGAUGAAUUUUAACUACUCUCUUGAUGUGUUUAAUACUGAGAUCUCUUACCAGACAGCUGGAUGAACAUUAACCACCCUAUUUUACACCGCUGCAUCAUCAGAAAAUUCUGUAGACAUUCACUCCAACUUGUGCUGAAGUUGGUUUUUUGUUGCGUAACAUGUAGUCAGAUGGUGCACAUGAUUUUACGAAAGCAACUACACGAACAAAUUAGUUAAUAACUUUAUCAAAGAGAGUGAUUACUUUAAGAUGUGGUCUUGGUACUUACAAUGCAAAAAGUAGGAUUCAACUUUGUUUUCUACUUUUAAACGGCUGAGGGUAUUUGAAGUAAAGAAAGAGAAAGCCAUUGGUUAAUGAUAAAGUAUUUUCAAUAAAUUAAAUAGGAUUGUGUAGUCAAUAUGUUUGAGUUAAGAGUUGAAGGAGUUACAAGUCCCGUGUUCAAAAUCGGGUGGUGGAUAAAAUACUAAGAUAACGAUUACAUUAGUUUAUCUAUUAAAUAAAAAUAGUAAAGUAAUAAUGAAUUUCUCCAAGAGAUUUAAGAUGCACUUUCGAUCCGUUAUUAAAAAGAUUUGAUUAAUCAUUUAUCAAGGAGAACGCAACCAAUGUCAUCAAAUCAUUUCUUGGAAUAUUUAAUAAGAAAUAAUCCCUUUGUGUGGGCACAAGAAAGCAUACAGUUUAGAAGUAUGAUUCUGUCACAUUAUUUUUGUAGCAGUGUUUCAUUUUUUACCAAUUGUGGGUGAAAUGAUAAUGUAUGGAUAUACUUCAUAUAUUUAUUGAAUGAUAACUUAUGGGGUUAGAAUUGGUCAUGUUGGCUUAUGGAGUUUAUAUAUAUAAUCAAUUACUACUAAUUAAGUGAAGUUGAGGCAACAUAACAUAACAAAUUAUACAUAUAGAUGCAGAUUGAUUGAAAAAGAGAAAUAGUAAGCAGGUUUGACAGAGCAAGGAGAACUAACUGUGUUAUGUUUGUUUAGUUACUUUUAGUCCCACAUCGGUUGGUUUGUUUUCUUUUAUUGUGUUUAUAAACAACAGAUACUCAUUCAUUGCUCGUCCCUUCGGGGACAUCCGAUAAAAUUGGAACGAUACAGAGAAGAUUAGCAUGGCCCCUGCGCAAGGAUGACACGCACAAAUCGAGAAAUGGUCCAAAUUUUUUUGCGAUUUCCUUUCAAUUUCAAUGCAGUAAUUAAACCAAGAAGGAGAUUUGCUCAAAAAAAAAAAAACCAACAAGGAGAUUGUCUAGUUCACAUACAUUUUCUUCUCAAAGUGAUGAAAAUCAUCCGGACUAAUUUUGUAAGUAAAUUAUUAGCCUUUAUUCUCAAAGCACAUGAUUUAAUGAAGUAAGCUAAAGGCAAAUCACAUAGCAAGUUUUGACAUUGUUUGAUAAAAUAUGGGUUUGAUGACUUGUAAUGUUUCAUGUUCUAGUCAGUGUUCUACCUACCAAGCCUUCUCAUUUUAUUUUGCCGAAUUGCUAAUUCAGUUCAAGUGAACACCAAUUUUAUAUAAGAAUGAUAGCUUUUUGAUAUGGCAGAACAGUGAAAAUUUAUUGCAUUUGAACAUUUAUCAUAAUCUCCAUGUGUUUUUUUGUAUACCUCCAUCAGUUUACGAGAACUGUAACUACAACAGCCAGGAGAUUCUUAACCAGAACAAUUGUCAAAUAUACAUAUAUUGAAAUCAACUCUAUAAAGGAGUUUGGGAUUGAAUAUUGUAUUAAUUUUGUACUUGAGCUAAGAUCCUAAUCUAUUUCUAUAAAUGUUUGAAAACUGGAUCACGAAAUAUUAUGCUAUCAUCACAUCAAUUUUUAUACUGACAAAACUUGAACAUUCUAAGUACAAUCAGUUUGGCAUGCUUAUUAAUGAUUCUCUCACCCUAUGAGAUUCGUUAGCUACUUACAUGACUUUUUAACUAUAGUCAUUGCUAAUGGCUAAUAACAAUCACAUUAAUUAUUGUCAUUGCUAAUGACUAAUAAUCGCAUUGGUCAUUGGGGAUGUUACAUCUUCUAUGCGGUUUUUGGAAUUGAAAUUUUGCCAGCUGCAGAAUAUGAAAGGAGGACAAUUCGGCAAAUAAUUGGGCCAUUAACUCAUGAGAAUUGAAAUAGUGUGAUAUAGCACAUGUAGCUAAGUCACCAUCACACUAGAAAUUCAUUCACUAUGUGGCUACUCAUUUAGAAGAAGUGGUGUGGUCUACACGGUACCUGGGAAUAUUGUUAGAACCUUACAAAUGGAUAGGUAACUUUAAGAUACUUUAGGAGCUCUACUCUAGUAAGAAUCUAGGAAUUAGAUAUUCCCGUUUCUGUAAUCACUUUGUAACCACUUCAAUUCCAUAAUAAAUAAAGCUCCCACCCUAUUUUAUUUCGACUUUAUUUACUAUUUUUAUACUGUGUUGACUUCUGGUUUGUAUCAAACCGGUCCGACGUACCAGAUACGACGACGGAACCAGUGAAAGCAACCGAAGAAGGUUACUCUGCCAGUGUUCAAACAGAUGGAAGCCAAGGGGGAAGCACUAGAGCGCUAGAAAAUGAGAUAUCAGAGGUACGAUCAACUCUGGUUGAGUUACCGACAUUUGAUGGCGAGGAUCUGGCAGGGGGGAUUUCGCGAGCAUAAGUUUAUUGUCGUGUCGAAGAUACAAUUUCGAAGGUGAAAGUGAAUAUGGCCCAGUUUUGCAUGGAAGGGUCAACUAUCCACUUCUUCAAUUCACUCGUUGGAGAGGAAGGAGAGUUGUCAUGGGAGAGGUUGUAGGAACUGUCGCUAGAAAGAUACGAGGGUCAUGUGGACAGGGAUAUCUACGAACAGUUAACGGAGUUGAAGCAAGAGGGAACGGUGGCGAAAUACAUUACAGAAUUUAAGUAUCUAACAGCUCAAAUUCUUAGACUCCCAGAUAAACAACUCUUGGGUUUUUUUCUACAUCAGAGGGGAAAGGUUAGGAGUUUUGCAGUCAUGGGAGAGAUGAACUGAACCAAGCUGUUGCAAGUGACAAGGGCUGUGGAAAAUGAGACCAAUGGUGAGGAGAAAGUUAUAGUCGUGGGACCAUACGCCGCAGUACCGGCUCAUUUUCGAGCCCGAUUAUUCUAGUAAAGAAGAAAGAUAAAACUUGGAUAAUGUUCAUUGGUUAUCGUGCUCUCAAUAAGGUAACGGUACCUGAGAGAGGGAGGAACACAGGCUGUUGCACCUCCAGUCCACAAUAUUGAAAUAAGGAAUAUAGGAUUGCUGACCUUUUUCUUGUAAAGAUAAGAUAGAGAUCUAAGACACAAAACAUUUGCCAUAUGAAAUUGUAAUGUAGAUUAUGACCCAAGAAUUAAUGGCAUCUUUCUGAUAAUAUAAGUAUAGUUUGCUUCGAAUCAUUCCUUUAAAGUUUGAAGGUCCUUCAAUGAACUCAAUAAAAAGAUUAGACUAAGCGGUGUUUUCAUAUAUAAAGACAGUUUGGCCGAGUGGUCUAAGGCGCCAGAUUUAGGCUCUGGUCCGAAAGGGCGUGGGUUCAAAUCCCACAGCUGUCAUUUAUUUUUUUAUAGAGAACUGAUUGUCUCAAAUUCUCCAAAUUUUCACCUCAAAUAUCUUAGUUAAGAGUUCAAAGGAGUUCGAAGACCCGUAUUCAAAAUCGGCUGUUGGAUAAAGUACUAAGAUAACAAUGGCAUUUGUUUAUCUACAAAAUAAUUAUAAUAAAGCAAUAAUGAAAUUCUCCCUGAGAUUUAAGAUGCACUUUCGAUCCAUUUAUGUAGAUUUGAUGAAUUAUUUAUCAAGGAGAAUGCAAUCAAAGUCCUCAAAUCAUUUCUUGGAAUAUUUAAUAAGAAUAACCUUUUUGUGUAGGCACAAGAAAGCAUACAAUUUAGCAGUAUUCUUCUGCCACAUUUAUUUUUGUCAUUUAUUUUUGUACUAGUGUUUCAUCUUUGAUGUUUUGUAUUGCCAUAGCGUGAUGGUGCCAUGGUGCCAAAAGGGUUGGUUAUGAAAAACUUGAAUUUUUCCACUCAAGUGAAGAUUUUGGAAUCAUACACUUGAGCCUAUUUUAUGCUAGUGUUUUAUUUAACUUGCAGACAUCUGAGUGAAGUUGGCUUCAAAGGGUAUGAUAGUUCAACAAACAAUUUUUUGCACCUGCUCACUGAAGAUGUAACUUAACAUUUAUUUAGAAUUAGAACAAUAAAAGUAAAAAAGUAAUAUCAUUAUCAUUAUAGUUUAAGGACUUAAAAUUUAAACUAGGUUUGGUGGGGUGUGCCAGGAAGUAAAACACUCUAGGAAGGAGUAGGACACUAUUCAUUGCUGCUGGAAUGCUAAUUACGAGGAAGCAUUAGAGAAAUUUAAUUCGGUUUUGGGAACAAAGCCAGAUGUUGAAGAAGCAGCGUUCACAAGUUAUAAUGUUGCUUAUUGAUACUCUAAACUAAGCCAGGUAUGCAUUUCACUAUUUCUUCAUUGGUUUUGGAACAGACAAGAUAGGCAUGGCAGAAACAAAACAUUUUCCAUAAGAAAUUACAAUCUGCAACACCUAGUUUGGGAGGAAAAAUGCUUCAAUUUCGAAGCAUCCAAUUCGCUAGGAGUAUACAUCUGCUACACUACACCUAGUUUGAGUGAAAAAAUAGAUCUCACCGUCCAUUACCUUCUUGGAAUGCAAAAGGAAUGCUAAGUACGGGGAAGCAUCAGAGUAAUUUGAGUCUGAAUCUAGAGUUUUCUAAAAUGCUAAAAACUUAAGCAGAAAAACCCCUUGCUAAGUUAUGGUUUCCUGAUAUAUAAUAUUUGUUAGAACAAGACUGAAUAUAGAAAGAGAAAUUUGAUAAAGCUAUGGUUUCCAAGUGGAGAGAUUCUAUGAAACAAUUUGGUGGACUUGCUGGCUUUGUUUUCAAUAACAGGUUUCUCUAUUUUCUGAUCAUCUAUUUUUGCAAUAAUAUUUUAAGUAUGAGUGUAGAAAAAGCAUUUCAUAUAUUUCAAACUUGUGAUUUAUGAUAGAAGAAUAACCUAGCAUGAAAUGAAUUAUAGUUACUCACACUAAAUCAGAUUCCCCGAGUCACCAUCAGCACAUGUCACAUGAAUUAUAGUUUCUCACUCGAAAUCAAAUUCCCCGAGUCACCACAUGUCACCGAAGCAUGUGUAAAUUUAGUUAAAAAUCAUCAUUAAAAUGACUUUAAUAUUAUAUUUUAAUGAUUUGUUCAGUGGUAUAGCUUGUACUCUCAUGGAUUGUUCUUUUGAUUCUGCUAUACUUUCUUUUUUUUAGUUUGUUUCACUCUUUGUUGCUUAGUGAUGAAGGCAAGCAUGAGAAACUGAUACGCCUUUUGGUGAAAAUGGUUUUAAAGGAGUUAAGUAAUAGUCCAAUGAUUGUGGCUGAGUUUCUAGUGGUACUCAAUGAACGUGUUGAGAAGGUGAUGGAUGGAUCAGUUACAUUUUCAAUCCAACAGUGUCAAGGUCUUAGGUUUGUAUGGGAUGGGGGGUGUUGGUAAGACAACCCUUGCAAAGGCUCUUUUUAAUAGUCUCGUUGGUCGUUUUGAGCGUAGUAGAUGUUUAUUUCAAAUGAGAGACAAUUUUCAGCUAAAGUGAGUGGUUUGCUUUCUCUUCAAAGAAAUAUCAGUAAAGAUAUUUCUUAUGAAGAAGAAAGUUUUAUUAGAGAUGCUGGUAUUUCUACGUACAAUAAAAAAUAUAGUUCAUAAAAAUUGAGUCCUGUCGGUGCUGGAUGAUGUUGAUAAUGUAAAUCAGCUUGAUGUUUUGAUUGGUAAAAGGGAAUGGUAUGAAGGAAGUUGUAUCAUAAUUACAACAAGGGAUACAACUGCUUUGCCUGAAAAACAUGUCAAUGAGUUGUAUGAAGUCAAAGAGUCGUAUGAUGAAGAAGCUCUACAGUUAUUCAGUCAAUGUGCUCUUGUGCUGCAUGCUGUUGUUUUAUAGAUUAUUUAAUAUACAUGCAUGUUUGUGUUUCUUGAAAUUCGUGAUAAUAAUCCUUCGUGAUAUUCAGCGGUCUCCAUUGAUUU